GGGAGCUAAGGGGCUUGUUGACGACCAACAACAACAGGCCCGAGUUGAAGUACAACUCCCCAUCUCCCAUUCCAAAUGGGAAUCGAAUUCCACCGGAGGUAGGGAAGCUCUUCACAACUACCGUCAGCAUCUCCUGGCCGGCCUUAGGGGAGCCGCUCGCAAGCCUACCAAUUUGAGCAAGGUUUGACUCCAAGACCUUGGAACCAUGGUGGAAGGGGCCUUUUCCAGUUGUCCUGUCUACUCCUCUGGCUGUGAAGGUUGCGGGACACCCGACAUGGAUCCAUCGCAACCACCUCAAGCCCGGACCGGACAACAGCCCAGAGGCGCAUGGAAAAUGGAGUGUCAUCAGCAAACCCAGAGAAUUGAAAGUAAAACUCUGCUCAACUGGACCUUCAUUAUGAUCUGGGUGAUUUCCCUUGGGACAAUAAUAGCGUUGUCCAAAGAGAACUUAGGUCAUACUAAAAAUGUUUGGGUGCAAUUAGCUGAAUCCUUAAAUUUGUCUGAAGUAUGUUUAAAUGCUGAUGUGAAUUUUCAUUAUGUGCUUGGAAAUUGUUUGGUUCCAGUAUGCACCCCACUUGAAAGUAUUAGACCAUAUACUAUGUUUAAAAAUUUCCCACAAGUAAAUCUCAGUUAUUUGGAUAGUUACAAUUGAGGACAGGUGACAUGUUACAAACCAAAGAAUGCUAUUAAGCUAUAUACCCCUCGAGUAGCUAUGUCCAAUAAGACUCUCUGUGCCAAAUAUAAAGGUUGUACUUCCCAGUGUUUAAAUCUUAGACAAACAGAUGUAAUGAAGUGUUCUAGAGAACAAAAGAUUCCUUACAGCAAAUGCCAUAUUACUUUGCCACUGGGAUGGUUUUAUACUUGUGAGGGAAUAACUUAUAAUUACAUCCAAGCAAACUUGACGGAGGCCCACUGUAGUCUUAGUAAAUUAGCAGUCGUCUUACCUGACAGGGGAGACCUCUCACCACCCAACAGAACAAAACGCUGGUCUCCCUAUAUUUUACCAGGCUGUGAUGAUGAUGUAGGACUUUUAACAGAUGCUGGUUAUUCCUAUGAUUAUUUCUGUGAUAGGUAUAACCUCAAUUGGAGUACAUUCUGAAAAGGCAGUUAGAAAACUAGCUUGCAAGGUAGUUAAAGGGUUAAAUACCACCUCUGCCGUGCUGGCACUAAUUAAUCAA